AAGUCGUAACAAGGUUUCCGUAGGUGAACCUGCGGAAGGAUCAUUAUUGAAUAAACUUGGUGGGCUGUCGCUGGCUUUACGAAGCAUGUGCACGCCUGCUGACUUUAUCCCAUCCACCUGUGCACCCUUUGUAGUCUUGAGAGGUUGAGAGCACCUGAACUUCGAUAAGGCCUUUGUUGACCUUUCGGAUUGGAUGCCUUGCAAAUGCUUGGUUCUCCUAGGUUGUAAUCACUUCUCUCUGACUACGUUUUUCGCAUACACUAUGUAGCAUGUCACAGAAUGUAUUAAUAUGGGGCAUCUGCGCCUAUAAACAUCAAUACAACUUUCAGCAACGGAUCUCUUGGCUCUC
rnacentral:misc_RNA from 1 species